rnacentral:rRNA from 1 species
GCAUAUCAAUAAGCCGAGGAAAAGAAACUAACAAGGAUUCCCCUAGUAGCGGCGAGCGAAGCGGGAAGAGCUCAAAUUUAUAAUCUGGCACCUUCGGUGUCCGAGUUGUAAUCUCUAGAAGUGUUUUCCGCGUUGGACCGCACACAAGUCUGUUGGAAUACAGCGGCAUAGUGGUGAAACCCCCGUAUAUGGUGCGGACGCCCAGCGCUUUGUGAUACACUUUCAAUGAGUCGAGUUGUUUGGGAAUGCAGCUCAAAUUGGGUGGUAAAUUCCAUCUAAAGCUAAAUAUUGGCGAGAGACCGAUAGCGAACAAGUACCGUGAGGGAAAGAUGAAAAGCACUUUGGAAAGAGAGUUAACAGUACGUGAAAUUGUUGGAAGGGAAACGCUUGAAGUCAGACUUGCUUGCCGGAGCUUGCUUCGGUUUGCAGGCCAGCAUCAGUUUUCCGGGGUGGAUAAUAACGGUUUGAAGGUAGCAGUCUCGGCUGUGUUAUAGCUUUCCGUUGGAUACAUCCUGGGGGACUGAGGAACGCAGCGUGCUUUUUGCGAAAGACUCGUCUUUUUCACGCUUAGGAUGCUGGUGGAAUGGCUUUAAACGACCCGUCUUGAAACACGGACC